GACGAACGCUGGCGGCGUGCCUAAUACAUGCAAGUAGAACGCUGAAGGAGGAGCUUGCUUCUCUGGAUGAGUUGCGAACGGGUGAGUAACGCGUAGGUAACCUGCCUGGUAGCGGGGGAUAACUAUUGGAAACGAUAGCUAAUACCGCAUAAUAGUAGAUGUUGCAUGACAUUUGCUUAAAAGGUGCAAUUGCAUCACUACCAGAUGGACCUGCGUUGUAUUAGCUAGUUGGUGAGGUAACGGCUCACCAAGGCGACGAUACAUAGCCGACCUGAGAGGGUGAUCGGCCACACUGGGACUGAGACACGGCCCAGACUCCUACGGGAGGCAGCAGUAGGGAAUCUUCGGCAAUGGACGGAAGUCUGACCGAGCAACGCCGCGUGAGUGAAGAAGGUUUUCGGAUCGUAAAGCUCUGUUGUAAGAGAAGAACGAGUGUGAGAGUGGAAAGUUCACACUGUGACGGUAUCUUACCAGAAAGGGACGGCUAACUACGU
rnacentral:rRNA from 1 species